rnacentral:rRNA from 1 species
UACGUAGGGUGCAAGCGUUGUCCGGAAUUAUUGGGCGUAAAGAGCUCGUAGGCGGUCACGCACGUCCGUUGUGAAAUCGCUCGGCUCAACUGGGCGGGGUCAGCGGAUACGGCGUGGCUGGAGCAAGCUAGGGGGCAAUGGAAUUCCCGGUGUAGUGGUGGAAUGCGUAGAUAUCGGGAGGAACACCAGUGGCGAAGGCGGUUGCCUGGAGCUUUGCUGACGCUGAUGCGCGAAAGCGUGGGGAGCGAUCCGG